rnacentral:pre_miRNA from 1 species
ACAACAUUCCGACCAUCGGUCUACCGAGCAAUAUCGCCUGCUCGGUGGAAGAUCUUCCCUUUUUCGU